rnacentral:misc_RNA from 1 species
UCAAAUCAUUCCAUUCAUUUCAUUUCACUCCAUCAAUAAACCAACCAAUCUCCAAGUCCACUUUGUUUUUUUUCCUCUUUAAAGAAAAACAAAAGAAAAAUACAUUCCUCCAUUUCCUCGUGAAGCGUCUGGAUCGAGAGUCUAGAGGCUAACUCUAGACGACGGCGUAGAGGAUGAUCUCCGCGGUGUCGGCGGCGGCCCGGGGCAUCCUCUUCGCGGCGAAGCCCGCGCAGCCGCCGCCGCCGCCGUCGGCCGAACCGGCGGCGGCGGAGGAAGACGGCGAAGAGGAGGAGGACGGCGGCGGGUGGUAGUACAUCCUCGCCGUCUGCGGGCAGUGGGAGUGGAACCGCGCGGCGAUGCGCACCCCCAUGUCGAGCAGCUCCACGUACUUCCCCAUCGAUCUAUAUUCCCCUUCUUCCUCUCGGAUCUCCUUCCCUGCCAAAUAAAAUCAACGAAUCCCUCCCUGGCCUGCUCCUCCUACGAAUCAGCAGCUGUGGAUGCGAGCGGUGGGUGGCGCUAUUGCCUUGCUGUGGUUGCUUCGUGGAAGGAGGUGUCCCACGAGCUGGGAGCUGCCAUGGGAGGCGGAGGCGGA